GCAAAUAGAGAAUCAACAUAAUUGCAUUAUACAGUAUUUACCCAGCUAAAAGGUUAUGGCUGCCUUGUCAAUUGGGUUUUAUUCUGAUGAAUACAAUUAUAUCAGAAAUUUAAUCCCCAAUAGAAAAUGCCUAAAAUCUUAAUUGUACAACAACUAUUUACCUGAAUCGUGUGUAAUACUGGAAGCUUGCAAGCAAUUCUGGGUUGAGAACGAUUUUCUGAAGUCCAAUGAAGUCUCUGUCACAACGGUCAAACCACGGCAGAGUUUCAUCAUGAUCGUCCUCCUCGUGAUCACAUUCUCCUUCUAGCCAUUUGUGCACGUUGCACACAUGGUAUAAUAAUGCAAUCCACUUAUCCUAAAUAACACACCAAGAACUAUAAUUACACCACUUAUUAAGAAAUUCUACAACUCAGCAUUGCUGGCAAGA